GUUUGCUCUUAUCGGGGAAGGGUGAGAAUCUUCGAUUAAGGUUCGACUCGAGCGAAAGCGAGAGAACGUUGCCAACGGCAACGGCCCGAAGAGUGAGGAGCGGAGCGACGAAUAAUCCUUCCCCCACCACCA
rnacentral:sRNA from 1 species